AUGUAUUUUCAAGACUCUGCAGGACAGGUGACUGUGAUUCAGACUCCAACAGAGAAACAUGUUCAGAACGGACAAACAGUGACUCUGACCUGUAAAACCAGCAGCUCUAUUGGACGCCAGUCAGACGACACAACAACUAAAAUGACAUUCAUCAUCUUCUUGAUCUUGACAAUUUGUUUUCAUUACUCUGCAGGACAGGUGACUGUGAUUCAGACUCCAACAGAGAAACAUGUUCAGAACGGACAAACAGUGACUCUGACCUGUAAAACCAGCAGCUCUAUUGGACGCCGGUCAGAUGGUGACUGCAAGUCUUGCGUCUCGUGGUACCUACAGAAACCUGGAGAAGCUCCUAAACUUUUAGUGUACAGCAUUAAAACCCUUUACUCUGGAACUCCAUCAAGAUUCAGUGGAAAUGGAGCUGAUUAUGGAACUGAUUUCUCUCUGACCAUCAGUGGAGUCCAGACUGAAGAUACAGGAGAUUAUUACUGUCAGAGUUACCACUGGAUCAACAAUAAACCAGUGUUCACACAGUGA